CCGGAAAUGAGGAUCGACAGCACGCAUUUUCUGGAGCUCUCCGUUGUGUGGACGUUACGUGAAACAAAACAUGUCGGUCGUCUCUGCCCCUGCUGUCCUCACCGACUGCCGCUCGCACUGGACCGGUGAAGACGGGAGGGAGAGUGUUUGUUUGUGUUGGACCACAGGCGGUGGCCGGCCCCCAUGAAGCAGCUGACAACCUGCUCAAUAAACACCGUGGGAUGAAGGACGAUGCUGCUCUAGUUCACAACUCCUGUACAGACCCACACAGCAUGCUGCACCCAACAACAAAACAUAUCGUAUAUAUGUAGAUGUUUAUAUAUUUUCUAUUUUUUUAUAAUAGUUAUAUUGGUUUUAGAUAUUUGUGUUGUUUGUGUGACCUUGCACUAUGGGCUCUGUGUUCAAUAAAUAUAAUUCAUAGAC